rnacentral:rRNA from 1 species
UACGGAGGGUGCAAGCGUUAAUCGGAAUUACUGGGCGUAAAGCGCGCGUAGGUGGUUCGUUAAGUUGGAUGUGAAAUCCCCGGGCUCAACCUGGGGAACUGCAUUCAAAACUGUCGAGCUAGAGUAUGGUAGAGGGUGGUGGAAUUUCCUGUGUAGCGGUGAAAUGCGUAGAUAUAGGAAGGAACACCAGUGGCGAAGGCGACCACCUGGGACUGAUACUGACACUGAGGUGCGAAAGCGUGGGGGAGCAAACAGG